UGGGGAAUAUUGGACAAUGGGCGAAAGCCUGAUCCAGCCAUGCCGCAUGUGUGAAGAAGGUCUUCGGAUUGUAAAGCACUUUAAGUUGGGAGGAAGGGCAGUAAGCGAAUACCUUGCUGUUUUGACGUUACCGACAGAAUAAGCACCGGCUAACUCUGUGCCAGCAGCCGCGGUAAUACAGAGGGUGCAAGCGUUAAUCGGAAUUACUGGGCGUAAAGCGCGCGUAGGUGGUUCGUUAAGUUGAAUGUGAAAGCCCCGGGCUCAACCUGGGAACUGCAUCCAAAACUGGCGAGCUAGAGUAGGGCAGAGGGUGGUGGAAUUUCCUGUGUAGCGGUGAAAUGCGUAGAGAUCUGGAGGAAUACCGAUGGCGAAGGCAGCCAUCUGGCCUAAUACUGACGCUGAGGUACGAAAGCAUGGGGAGCAAACAGG
rnacentral:rRNA from 1 species